rnacentral:tRNA from 1 species
CAGAAAUUAGUUUAUAGAAAAUUUUUCAUUUACAUUGAAUUGAUUUUAGUGCAAAUCUUAAAUUUCUGA